GACAGAGGGUGCAAACGUUGUUCGGAAUUAUUGGGCGUAAAGCGCACGUAGGCGGUCCGUUAUGUCGGAUGUGAAAUCCCUUGGCUCAACUGAGGAAGUGCAUCCGAAACUGGCGGGCUCGAGUACGAAAGAGGGUCGCGGAAUUCCCGGUGUAGAGGUGAAAUUCGUAGAUAUCGGGAGGAACACCGGUGGCGAAGGCGGCGACCUGGGU
rnacentral:rRNA from 1 species